AGUGAACGCUGGCGGUAGGCCUAACACAUGCAAGUCGAACGGCAGCACAGUAAGAGCUUGCUCUUACGGGUGGCGAGUGGCGGACGGGUGAGGAAUACAUCGGAAUCUACUUUUUCGUGGGGGAUAACGUAGGGAAACUUACGCUAAUACCGCAUACGACCUACGGGUGAAAGCAGGGGAUCUUCGGACCUUGCGCGAUUGAAUGAGCCGAUGUCGGAUUAGCUAGUUGGCGGGGUAAAGGCCAACCAAGGCGACGAUCCGUAGCUGGUCUGAGAGGAUGAUCAGCCACACUGGAACUGAGACACGGUCCAGACGCCUACGGGAGGCAGCAGUGGGGAAUAUUGGACAAUGGGCGCAAGCCUGAUCCAGCCAUACCGCGUGGGUGAAGAAGGCCUUCGGGUUGUAAAGCCCUUUUGUUGGGAAAGAAAAGCAGCAGGUUAAUACCCCGCUGUUCUGACGGUACCCAAAGAAUAAGCACCGGCUAACUUCGUG
rnacentral:rRNA from 1 species